rnacentral:rRNA from 1 species
ACGGGUGAGUAAUGUCUGGGAAACUGCCUGAUGAAGGGGGAUAACUACUGGAAACGGUAGCUAAUACCGCAUAACGUCGCAAGACCAAAGAGGGGGACCUUCGGGCCUCUUGCCAUCAGAUGUGCCCAGAUGGGAUUAGCUAGUAGGUGGGGUAACGGCUCACCUAGGCGACGAUCCCUAGCUGGUCUGAGAGGAUGACCAGCCACACUGGAACUGAGACACGGUCCAGACUCCUACGGGAGGCAGCAGUGGGGAAUAUUGCACAAUGGGCGCAAGCCUGAUGCAGCCAUGCCGCGUGUAUGAAGAAGGCCUUCGGGUUGUAAAGUACUUUCAGCGGGGAGGAAGGUGUUGUGGUUAAUAACCACAGCAAUUGACGUUACCCGCAGAAGAAGCACCGGCUAACUCCGUGCCAGCAGCCGCGGUAAUACGGAGGGUGCAAGCGUUAAUCGGAAUUACUGGGCGUAAAGCGCACGCAGGCGGUCUGUCAAGUCGGAUGUGAAAUCCCCGGGCUCAACCUGGGAACUGCAUUCGAAACUGGCAGGCUAGAGUCUUGUAGAGGGGGGUAGAAUUCCAGGUGUAGC